rnacentral:rRNA from 1 species
UACGAGUGCCCCGAGCGUUAUCCGGAAUCAUUGGGCGUAAAGGGUGUGUAGGUGGCAGUGUUAGUCGUCUGUUAAAACCUGGGGCUUAACCCCAGAUGUGCGGACGAAACGGCACAGCUAGAGGAUGCGAGGGAUCUGUGGAACUCAUGGAGUAGGGGUGAAAUCCGUUGAUAUCAUGGGGAACACCGGUGGCGAAGGCGGGUCUCUGGGCAGUAACUGACGCUGAGGAGCGAAAGCGUGGGGAGCGAACAGG